rnacentral:misc_RNA from 1 species
GUUAUUAUUGUCUUUGGUUUUUUGUUUUCUUUUCCUUAAAAAAACUAGAAAAUGUUUGGUGAAAUCAUUUGAUUUCUGUUUCCUCUGCUUUUUUUUACAAGCGAUUUUAAAAAUAAAAACAGUGAAACAAGAAGCCCAAAAGCAAGGUUUCGUCUUUUUUGCUUCUCAUGUUUGUUCUCAUAUGUCCAUUUAAAGACCAAAUUAAACCCUCCUCUUUUAUCCUCCAUUAUAAUCUUGCACAAUCAUCCACUAUCUCUCUCCUACUUAUUGCAGGCAUCACUUGGCAUCUCCAUUAUCAUCACUGAACAUCUAUCGUUCUCACCUAUUUCAGGAAAUUAAUAAUACUUUUUGAUAUUGUUAAUCAACAAUGAACAAUCAUCUACCCUAUUCAAUUUCAUCUUUUUUCCAACACAUCAACACCAGAUUCAGCCAUUAAAUAGCAUGUAGCAAUCCCUUAUAUCUCUCUUAUCAUCAUCCUCUUAUUGUUUAGAUCCUUUUUUUUUCUUUUUAUCUCCAAGGAUCAAAUGUGGAAGAAAAUUUAUAAUUCUUUAUUUUAUUUUGAGGCCAAGCUGUUACCACACGAGGGAAAACAUAGUAAGCUUGAUUUUUGGCCAUGAGUUGGGGUAAUCUCAAAAUCAUUAUCAAAGCUACUGCAAACAAUUGGUAAAGGGAAUU